UUCCUCAUCUUGUAUUUGAAGAAGUCUUUCAAUAUCCAUCCGAGACAACUGGGCCUUCCAAUACUGCAGGAGGGUAUAGCCAAGCUAAUUACAUGAGCAAGGGGUUUUCAACUGGAAAUGCCGCCUCACUAGGGGGACCCUCAUUCCCCAGGAACCCAACUAAUGUCGGUGCCCAAAUGGGCUUGAAGGGUUUUUGGAUUCCACAAAAACAAUUUGUCGGCUCUCAAAACGUGGUUAACCCGAGAGUGCGUAAACCGAUCCUUCCUCCUCCAAGCUAUGGAAAGUCCAGUAAUGGCUACCAGAAGGCCAGGUACAUGCCAGUGUUUCCCUAUCCAAUGCCUGUAAGCUCAAACGGUGUCCAGGGUCAAUCUGCUGCCCCAAAAGGUGUAUAACCCUCAAAGGGUCAAAUGGUUACAACAUGGAUAAUGUCCUGAGUUGCAGAAUGAUGUGCCCUCCAAGAAAAAUAAAACUUUAUUCAAAAUUCA